UGAAAAUCAACUAUCAGUCAUUCAAUUAUUUAGCUGGGUUAAAAGGAAAUAAAUAAAACAUUUUUUUUUAGCUUUUUAGCUUUUGUAUUGGUCAGACCUGGAAAAAUGUUUCAAUCACAUUUGAAAAAGUCAGGGACUUCUAAAUUUGAAAAUCUUCCAGUAGUUCCUCUUACAAUGGUCAUUUUUUAAUUUUCAAAUGUUAUUAGAAAAUUAAUUGUUGUCCAUCACACCCCAGUUGUACUGAAUUAAAAAAAUAUUAAUCACAGCUGAAAUAAAAAAAAAUGAUUUUACCUUUUGAGUUUUAAGUCAACCCCUCUUAAAGGAGUAGGUUCAGUAAGACCCCUUUUUGGCCCCAAAAUAAAGCAGUUUUACAAAAUUGUUAAAAUGUAACCCUUUAGUUAUUUAUUGGACAGUAGAAUGCUUCUGCUACAUAAAUAUGGGCUGUUUUU
rnacentral:lncRNA from 1 species